GUGCUUGCCUUGGCAGCACAUGUAUUAAACCGGAACAAUACCAAGAAGAUGAGCAUGGUUUCUGUGCAAGGGUGAUGCACAAUGUGAUGUUCCAACAUGAAGCAUUCCAUAUUUUU
ensembl:snRNA U6 U6 spliceosomal RNA